AGAGCGGUGUCCAGCUGGAUCCGGGGCUAUGGCCGACUCGGGGAGGUCGAGAUCCUUCUUCUACGCUUUGAUACCAAAUAACCUUCCUGCUAUAAUGAAUUAGUUGCGCCGUAUUGCACUAGAUGAUUAACUGGCCAGCUUAAAAUGAAUCGAUUUUGCGAACCCCCUGGAAUUAUUACACCAUCCUCCCGCGGGUGAUAAUACCAUUAUACUGCUAUUCCGCUCUGCCUUUCGAAACGAAGCUGUCAGCAACAGGACAAAGUUGUUCAAAAUGAACCGAAUAGGUCCAAAUGGGUCUGGAUUUUAAGAUUAUGAGAAGGGUUUUUGCCGAUUGCUCGACAAAUUUGCCUUCCUGCCAACUUCUUCCCAGCACAGGAUCGGAUUGAAACAGGCAAAGAAAUAUUCGUGGCCUUUUUUUCCCGCAUGAGCCGUCCAGUCAGUUCCGAAACAUGUUGCCAGCCGUCAAUGAUCUUGGCUGAUUUCCGGAAUUGCAAGUAAUCGACUGUGCACCCGUGGGAUGCUUUUGCAUAUUAGGGCUGUCGAAAAAUCUAUUGCCCUGGCCGAGCCUGAUUCGACAUUAUACGCCUCUGUGACUACCUUUUUCGUGUAAUCAAACUUGCAUCUCGGUUGUGGUCAACAAUAGCCACAUCCCGCGCAACGCAAACGCGGAUCUCGUUUCAUCUGUUGAUGAUCAACUCCCCUUCGCUCUACUGGACUAACCCUGCUUUUUGGCGAUGGCCAAUUUUCCAUUCCAUGCGACAGGGCACAGUUGUGGCAAAUGACUUUCCCUGACACAUCGACUUCAAUAUGUUGUAGUUAUGCUUGCUGGCCAACUUUUUUUGAGAAAAAAUCAAAUCCGGAGCUACCAUGGAGUUAUCGAACGGCCCUAUGAGUAUGGGUGAAAAACGCGAACUAAUUAAACCCAGCCAAAAGCAAAGCAUGUCAUGAACGCCACCACCAGAAGAUGAAGGAGAUCCUCUGAUUUUUGGCUGCUCGUCAAUUAUGAUCACAUCAGCACACGUACAUAGUUAACGUUAGUUAGAGUUAGUUACACAUAUUCCCCGAGCAACUGCAAGACAUUUUGCUUUUUUGCGCAAACCUUGAUGCAGACAUCUAUUUCUUGUGCAUGAUUGCAUCUAUCAGAGCCUUCUGGCGGCAUGGAAUCUGUUUAUCAUGAUGAUCUCCUGCAUAUCAAUUGCACCCGCAGCUCGCGCCGCCCGAAAAUCAUAUAACGGCUCCUGCGUCCAGAGUGCAUGGCCGAAUGGGAGCCCAUUGCCUUGCACAAAAAUAUUUUUCCCAAUUGCUUACGCAUACCAUAGGAGAGUGGAAUCCCCCGAGUUGUUCAACUAUAAAGUAGCACGGCAG
rnacentral:sRNA from 1 species